UCAGGAUGAACGCUGGCGGCGUGCUUAACACAUGCAAGUCGAACGAUGAAGCCCAGCUUGCUGGGUGGAUUAGUGGCGAACGGGUGAGUAACACGUGAGUAACCUGCCCUUAACUCUGGGAUAAGCCUGGGAAACUGGGUCUAAUACCGGAUAGGAGCGUCCACCGCAUGGUGGGUGUUGGAAAGAUUUAUCGGUUUUGGAUGGACUCGCGGCCUAUCAGCUUGUUGGUGAGGUAAUGGCUCACCAAGGCGACGACGGGUAGCCGGCCUGAGAGGGUGACCGGCCACACUGGGACUGAGACACGGCCCAGACUCCUACGGGAGGCAGCAGUGGGGAAUAUUGCACAAUGGGCGMAAGCCUGAUGCAGCGACGCCGCGUGAGGGAUGACGGCCUUCGGGUUGUAAACCUCUUUCAGUAGGGAAGAAGCGAAAGUGACGGUACCUGCAGAAGAAGCACCGGCUAACUACGUGCCAGCAGCCGCGGUAAUACGUAGGGUGCGAGCGUUAUCCGGAAUUAUUGGGCGUAAAGAGCUCGUAGGCGGUUUGUCGCGUCUGUCGUGAAAGUCCGGGGCUUAACCCCGGAUCUGCGGUGGGUACGGGCAGACUAGAGUGCAGUAGGGGAGACUGGAAUUCCUGGUGUAGCGGUGGAAUGCGCAGAUAUCAGGAGGAACACCGAUGGCGAAGGCAGGUCUCUGGGCUGUAACUGACGCUGAGGAGCGAAAGCAUGGGGAGCGAACAGGAUUAGAUACCCUGGUAGUCCAUGCCGUAAACGUUGGGCACUAGGUGUGGGGACCAUUCCACGGUUUCCGCGCCGCAGCUAACGCAUUAAGUGCCCCGCCUGGGGAGUACGGCCGCAAGGCU
rnacentral:rRNA from 1 species